GAUGAACGCUAGCUACAGGCUUAACACAUGCAAGUCGCGGGGCAGCAUGUCGGUUGCUUGCAACCGAUGAUGGCGACCGGCGCACGGGUGAGUAACGCGUAUCCAACCUGCCCUUCACCACGGAAUAAUCCAGUGAAAAUUGGUCUAAUACCGUAUGAGGUCAUACGAUGGCAUCAGAAUAUGACGAAAGGUUUGGCGGUGAAGGAUGGGGAUGCGUCUGAUUAGCUUGUUGGUGAGGUAACGGCUCACCAAGGCGACGAUCAGUAGGGGUUCUGAGAGGAAGGUCCCCCACAUUGGAACUGAGACACGGUCCAAACUCCUACGGGAGGCAGCAGUGAGGAAUAUUGGUCAAUGGGCGAGAGCCUGAACCAGCCAAGUAGCGUGCAGGAAGACGGCCCUAUGGGUUGUAGACUACUUUUAUAUGGGGAUAAAGUGAGCUACGUGUAGUUUAUUGCAGGUACCAUAUGAAUAAGGACCGGCUAAUUCCGUGCCAGCAGCCGCCGCCG
rnacentral:rRNA from 1 species